UUAAAGAUGUCAGAAAGUUUAUGAGCUUGUUUUAGGUACAAGAUAUAGUACAAGGGGGUACUUCUUUAAA
rnacentral:tRNA from 1 species